rnacentral:lncRNA from 1 species
GGCGCAUCAUGAGCACUAGUAAGUGUCAGCUGGUAUCACAUUAGCACAGGUGCUCUUCUCUCUUGCUCUCACAAUCCUGCGCGGCCUCACCCUUUCUCCACAGGCCAGAACAGCUCCCUGCAGAAGUUAGCAAAACCAAGUAAAUUGUAAGAUUCAGUUGAAGCAAAGGAAUCAGGCCCCCAUCAGAAGAGAAUGAGAAGAGCGGGGCCAGAGCGGUGGGAGACAGGGUCUCAGGAAUCUGUUCCUGCCUUGGAACUGGAACUGGCCUGCUGUGUGACGUUGGCUCCAGAUCGCAUUCCAAGAUUCUGCUUCAGGAUCUCCCCUUGCCGUGGCUUCUGGAACAACCAGCCCCAACAGCCCUCUGGCACUGCAUGAUUUCCCUCUCCUUCCUACAGGAGCCCACAAGACUAUGUCCUUCUGCCUUUCUGUGGUCCUGGUGCCUUUAUCCCGAUCCUCUCUUAAUCCCCUCAACACUGUGAUUGUGCAGACAAACUAGUCUAGAUUCAAGUCCAGCCCCACUAAGGCUGUGUGAUCCAGACAAGUGACUUCAUGUGUUUGGGACUCAAUUUACUGUUCUUUGAAGUGAGGAUGACAGCACUUGUCUCCUAGGGCUGCUGUGAGGGUGAGAUGAGGUCCUGGCACACACCUGGGACAUCCUGGCUACACGGUGUUGACCUGAGAGCUCUCCCUAAUAAAACUCUGCAGGCUAACCUCCCUCUCCAAGAGUACUGCUGAGAACCUGACCUGUGAUGGUAGGAGGGUGAGACAUCUGUCGGCUGAUAGGCAGAUCUUCUGUCUCCUGGUUCCUGCCGUUUCCAUGUUGAGGCCCCCUCGCCCCCCACUUAGAUUAUUUUGCAGCAAAUCCCAGACAUCAUGUCAUUCUACCCAUAAAUCCAUAAAUAUUUCGGAAGCAUCAUCUUUUGAGGUAGUUCAGAUGCUAUUGCCUGGAUGGAUCACAAGGAGAAACAUCUUAAAGAGGUUGCUGCAGGUGGAAAAAGCACCAUCUUCCCUCCCCAUGCGCCAUGGACCUGUCCUGAGCCCAAAUCCCGAGCCUCCACCCUUUCUACCAAACUAUACCUUGGAGCAGGAGUGUGGGCCCUUCUUGGCUUA